rnacentral:rRNA from 1 species
AUGUGGCGUCGACGAAGCACUACACCUGGCUUGCUCGCCGGCGCGCGCGUGCGUGCUUCAAUGCACGGCGCUUCGUCGAGCUGGCCGGACCGCGGCAAUCGCCGGAGCCGGAGCCGGAGGAGGCGACAAGAUGCUGCUGCUGCGGCUGCGUCCUCGGAGGCAGCAGCUGCCCCUCGCCGACCUCACCAACCUCCGGCGUCCGCCAUGAGCUCCGCGCAGGACCCCUUCUACAUCGUCCGGGAGGAGAUCCAGGGCUGGGUAAUCCCCCCAUCCCCAUCUGCCCUCCCUCCCUCCCCUGUGCCCCUUUCUCUUCCUCUAGUUGCGAAUUUUGGUAUGCUGCCGCUGUUUAUUUGGCUGCGCCGUGGCGUACUGUCAGCUGAAAACUGCUUCUUUAUUUUCUACUCCAGUAUUGUAUGGAGUAGUAUAUAA